GAACCCCUAGCAGGGUCGCCUAAGACCAUGGGAAAACACAGAUAUUUAUAUCACAAUUCAUAACAGUAGCAACAUGACAGCUAUGAAGUAACAACGAACAUAAUGUUAUGGUUGGGGGUCACCACCACAUGAGGAGCUGUAUUAGAGGGUCAGAAGGUUGAGAACCA